rnacentral:lncRNA from 1 species
UCGAAAAAUAACCUCUCUCUUCUAAGAAAAGAAAGACGAACAGUACUUUCUUCUUCCCGUUGAAAUUUCAGACGGCGGCGGGAACAACUACAGUAACAACUACUGCUCGUCGGAUUGCUUCCGUCCAGCUCGUCUUCGGGCUUCUUCCGUCCGGCUUGUCGUUGGACUUCUUCGUCGGACUUCCUCUAGUUACUUUGUCGUUGGACUUCUUCGUUCAGUUAAACAUCCUCAUUAAUUUGUAGGUUAUCUUCUAAUGUGUUCUUUUUCGACGAUUACGAUUUCGUCUUUUAGAGUUUUUUAUUACGUUAUUACAUCGUUUUAGUGUUUUCGAUUUCAGUAGGUUAUACGAUUUAACAGAAGCAAUGCAAUUUCUGUGUAUGUUCCUAAGCAAUGCAAUUUCUGGGUUUUCGAUUUAGGUUUCAGAUUCAUUUUUCAUAAAACUGCAGUUCCUGAUUUCAGUUUUAUGUUGCUGCAGUUGAUGAGUUUUUAUUCUAGAGUUCAAAUUCUUGCAGAUAGCAUUCUGAAUUGUUCUUUUUUGCUGGACUUGUAUUGCAUUAACUCCUUCCCUCAUACACUCUAUGCGAUUUAUGCCCCAAUGAUUCAUCACCAAUGAAAAGUUCUGCUCACUGCAGUAGGGAUCAGAUAAUGAAGCCUUGCAAUUCCUGUUAUGGAGCUGGAGAAGAAAUGAGCGAAGAGGGCUGUGAUGAUGUCUGGCUUGUAGGCUUCUAGCCAUAGAUUGUUUGGAAAUACAACCCACCAUGUUCUUCGUCUCUACAGGAGCUGGAGAAGAAAUGGGACGUUGAUAGUUUCUGGUCAUGCUAGUGUUGCUUCGUCUAUAUAUUUAUCAGUCUUUCUAUGGGACGUUGAUAAUCUGAUUAGUUUAUCGUGUUAUAAAAGGAGCACCCAAUUUAAGACAUUUUGUUGAAUUAGCUUCUGAAUUUGCGCUCUCUACUGUGCUAAUAAUCUGUUAGUGCUGAUUGAAGACUUUUACUUAUAGUAAGUCACUUUCCAGAGUGAAAAAAUGUGGAUACUGACUGUGUUUUGACGACGAUGCAG